GGGCGCGUGGCCUAGUCCGGAUAUGGCGGCAGCCUCCUAAGCUGUAGGUCGGGGGUUCGAAUCCCUCCGCGCCCG
rnacentral:tRNA from 1 species